rnacentral:rRNA from 1 species
AAAUAUUUCAUUGAGACUUCGGUGGAUUUGAUCUAUUUCUAGUGGCGGACGGGUGAGUAACGCGUGGGUAACCUGCCUUAUACAGGGGGAUAACAGUCAGAAAUGGCUGCUAAUACCGCAUAAGCGCACAGAGCUGCAUGGCUCAGUGUGAAAAACUCCGGUGGUAUAAGAUGGACCCGCGUUGGAUUAGCUAGUUGGUGGGGUAACGGCCCACCAAGGCGACGAUCCAUAGCCGGCCUGAGAGGGUGAACGGCCACAUUGGGACUGAGACACGGCCCAGACUCCUACGGGAGGCAGCAGUGGGGAAUAUUGCACAAUGGGGGAAACCCUGAUGCAGCGACGCCGCGUGAAGGAAGAAGUAUCUCGGUAUGUAAACUUCUAUCAGCAGGGAAGAUAGUGACGGUACCUGACUAAGAAGCCCCGGCUAACUACGUGCCAGCAGCCGCGGUAAUACGUAGGGGGCAAGCGUUAUCCGGAUUUACUGGGUGUAAAGGGAGCGUAGACGGUGUGGCAAGUCUGAUGUGAAAGGCAUGGGCUCAACCUGUGGACUGCAUUGGAAACUGUCAUACUUGAGUGCCGGAGGGGUAAGCGGAAUUCCUAGUGUAGCGGUGAAAUGCGUAGAUAUUAGGAGGAACACCAGUGGCGAAGGCGGCUUACUGGAC